GGGCAUAUGGUGUAGGGGUUAUCACGUUCGCUUUGCAUCGGGCUGAACUUUCCCUUCUUGCGAAAGGUCUCCGGUUCAAAUCCGGAUUUGUCCA